rnacentral:rRNA from 1 species
AUUGAACGCUGGCGGCAUGCCUUACACAUGCAAGUCGAACGGUAACAGGUCUUCGGAUGCUGACGAGUGGCGAACGGGUGAGUAAUACAUCGGAACGUGCCCGAUCGUGGGGGAUAACGAAGCGAAAGCUUUGCUAAUACCGCAUACGAUCUACGGAUGAAAGCAGGGGACCGCAAGGCCUUGCGCGAACGGAGCGGCCGAUGGCAGAUUAGGUAGUUGGUGGGAUAAAAGCUUACCAAGCCGACGAUCUGUAGCUGGUCUGAGAGGACGACCAGCAACACUGGGACUGAGACACGGCCCAGACUCUUACGGGAGGCAGCAGUGGGGAAUUUUGGACAAUGGGCGAAAGCCUGAUCCAGCCAUGCCGCGUGCAGGAUGAAGGCCUUCGGGUUGUAAACUGCUUUUGUACGGAACGAAAAGACUCUGGUUAAUACCUGGGGUCCAUGACGGUACCGUAAGAAUAAGCACCGGCUAACUACGUGCCAGCCGCCGCCGUAAGAC